UAAACUGAAGAGUUUGAUCAUGGCUCAGAUUGAACGCUGGCGGCAUGCCUAACACAUGCAAGUCGAACGGAAACGAUGCUAGCUUGCUAGCAGGCGUCGAGUGGCGGACGGGUGAGUAAUGCAUAGGAAUCUACCUAGUAGCGGGGGACAACCUGGUGAAAACCAGGCUAAUACCGCAUAAUCCCUACGGGGCAAAGCAGGGGACCUUCGGGCCUUGCACUAUUAGAUGAGCCUAUGUCGGAUUAGCUUGUUGGUGAGGUAAUGGCUCACCAAGGCGACGAUCCGUAGCUGGUUUGAGAGGAUGAUCAGCCACACUGGGACUGAGACACGGCCCAGACUCCUACGGGAGGCAGCAGUG
rnacentral:rRNA from 1 species